AACCAAUCGGUGUAGUUCCGUACCCCACAACAACGAAACUGCAAAGCAAGAAGAUAAGAAAAAAAAGGGGGGACAUGUGUGUGUUUGUGCCUCGUAUCAGGAAAAACUCCCAAUGGUUUCAAACCAGUUUCCUAACAGGUUUCUUAGACCUGCAGUUGGAAAACAGGAGAGGCUGAAAGUAAACCUGCAUAUUUUUUUUUCUCUCUCAUAUCAUCAUCAUCAUCAUCAGUUCUGGACACAUUAAGUAUGGUCCAAAGAGAUGCUACUUACCGUCAUUAAGAGACAUCGAUGUUCUGUGGCUGCCCCCAAGCAUCCAAGAAACCCCACUACCAUGAUGAUGGCACCUGUUGCCAUGAAGAAUCCGGCUGCUAACAGCGAUGG